UACAGAGGUCUCAAGCGUUGUUCGGAUUCAUUGGGCGUAAAGGGUGCGUAGGCGGCGCGGUAAGUCGGGUGUGAAAUCUCGGGGCUUAACUCCGAAACUGCAUUCGAUACUGGGUGUCUUGAGUGUGGAAGAGGUCAGUGGAAUUGCGAGUGUAGAGGUGAAAUUCGUAGAUAUUCGCAGGAACACCAGUGGCGAAGGCGGCUGACUGGUCCACAACUGACGCUGAGGUGCGAAAGCGUGGGGAGCAAACAGG
rnacentral:rRNA from 1 species